UCGGGCCGCGGCCUCGACUACCCGCUGGCCUUUGCCUUUUCGGCCCGCCUCUGUCGCGCAGCUCGACUCCCACUGAAGCGCGGCGGAGCCUGGAGGAGGCCGGAAGAGGAGGCGGGCGGAGGGAAGCUAGCUGCGCUUUUCUCCCGCCCUGCGGGCAGCUCCGCGGGAUGCCUGUUCCGCACCUUUUUCUCUGUCUUUCCCGGCCGUCUCUAGCUGACUGACGGAAGGCACUCCCUCCCCCACCCCGGGCACACCACCAGGGCCUGCACUGUUAGCCUGCUCCUAGCUUUUCUUGCUUUCCGCUGGAGACCUUAGGCCAGUCCUUAGCCGCCCAGACUUGGGAUCGGGGUCCCUGCCCUGGAGACCCUACAGGGAUUUGGGGACUGCCGGGUGCACCAGCGCCUUGGGACCAGGACUCAAAGGUGUGGUGUAGUCAUGAACACUCGUCUCAAACAAUCUAGAUGCCAGAAUCAUGGCCCACAACAGAAUUCCCCAAGCCCACCUCACUGAGCUAGUCAGGGAGACAAGCAGCCGCUGAGGGGCGAUAGCACCUGGGGGAAGCAGAGGUCCAGAUGUGUUCUCCACAUUAGGUGCCCAAGCUGUUUCUUAGUUUUUUGCUGCAACAAGAAGCAGUGUCCUGAACACUAUGUUUUCCACUCGACCCUGCAUACAAAAAGUACAGCCCUCCUCAUAGAGUGGGAAGUAAGCCCGCGAGGAAGCCAGGCAGCUGGUGUCCAGCAGUUCUGUCCUCCAAAAUAAGACACAGUGCCUGACUUCGUACAAUCUACUGGAGAACAGAUCUUACACAGACCCAGCGUCACACUGUGUGUGUAGGUUCCACACUCAACGUGGGGCUUGAAUUGAGGACCCUGAGAUCAAGAGUCAGAUGCCCUACCAACUGAGCCAGCCAGGCCCACCUCUUCCUCCUCUAUUACCAUUGAUGUCUUAGCCAUACACAAGUAUUUAGCUGUUAAUCGUGUUGUUUGCCCUUUAUACAGAGCAAAUUCUCAAUAGGCAUUUCUUGGAUGAAAUGAAUGGAAGAAUAUCAGAUACAGCCAUUUUUUUCAUUUCGCUAAUAAUCUAUUACAUACAAGUACUCACAGCCCCUAUCCUCCAGGGGUUCACAGCCAGCAUGGUUGAGGAAGAUGUUGUCACAUGUAAUUACACUUUGUGUGUUGUGUGACAAAGUGCUCCAGGAACAUGGAGGGUGAUGGUACAGGCACAUUGCUGGGAAGGAAAACUAAACAACUAGUAUAGAUAGGGAACCAAGUCAUGCUGACAUUUCCCUUGGCCUAUGGGCACGUAUGAUGAGUCUGCAAGGGAUGCUCAGGGGACCAGGGUUCCUUUAGAUUCACCCACAUAUGUACACAGGCAUAGUUACAUUCUGGGGACAGAGGAGGCUGGGGUAACAGGUGCUUCCUCUGCAGGGAGACUUGGAUUGCUUCCAUUUACCUCCCUGUGGAGCUAGGUGGCCUGUAGGACUCUUCAGCACCACCCAAGGUGGGCUACACAUUCUCCUGGCUACUGCUUGGACUUUAGGCAUUUGGAUGACAUGGGAGUGUUUUGUGGUCUCAUACUCUGGCCUAUCUGGCUGCAACUAAUACUAGGACUGGGGGCAGGGGCACUGGAGAUGGGGUGUCUGUCUGUGAGAUGAAUAAUGGAAAGACUGCUGGGCUUCUGCUUAGCACAUCACUGUUAUGUCAGUCUUAGCUCUGAAUGCAGCUAGAAUACCCAUCAGCAAGCUGCCUACCUAGUUGAUGAUCUUAGUUUUGCUUUCUCACAUGACAAAUCUGGAGUUCAGUUCUUGGGGAGGUCAAAGCUGAAGGAUCUCGGGGCUCAGAGUUUGCUUCUCUAUUACUCCUAGGGUUAGGGGCUGGGCCCAUGAGCCCUUACUCCUUAGGCUAGAACUCCUAUUUGUGCUCCCAGCUCCCAAUUCAUAGUUACUGAUGCAAAGCAUGUAUCUGGUAACUUGUGUGACUAGCUGGAGCUAGUCUAUUUGCUCUUCUAGCCUAUUUGGUGAUUGUAAUAUAAUAAAAAUUUGCCAAGUUCAGGGUU